rnacentral:lncRNA from 1 species
AAUUUGACAAAUUUACAUGUAAACAUUAAGGAGUGAGAAAGUUAAAACGAUACCAAUCGUGUUUUAGAGCUUUGGUGACCAUUUUAAAAGAAUAUAUGAUAAAUUCAAAGGUAAGUCUAUCGUAUUGCAUUGUCAUAAAUGAAUUCUCAGCUAAAAUACGGCAAUAAAUGGAUCAUAAAUUUAGUUAAAUUUACUUUAACUUAUUUUUCCUUGAAUAGCUUUACCAUAGUCAUUUUACCUUAAAAUGUAGCUACCGAGGAUAUCUCUAAGAUAUUUUACACAGAUUAUUUGCACAAUCUCACGAUUUAAUCAUGCUGAUAACAUGAAAAUCCUUGUGCCAUUGUAUACUUGGCAUAAUCUCCACAUCAAUAGUUCACCAGUUCAACACUUAUAAGUUAUAAAUUCAAUAUAUUUUUUAACCAGUCCAUAUAUUAUUAUACACAAUGUAGUAUAGUUAAUUUGACCAUUGAGAAGUAAGGGGUGUAUUACAUUACACAGACACUGCUGAAUUUUAGGUUACAUGCCAUUGGAUUGAUAUAUAAAAACAUUUGUACUAAAAACACACAUUAUCUUGUUGAUAGAAUAGUUAUUUGCAGUAUACUAACUGUUGGCAUACUCUAUUUCAGGCCUAUCAGCCUAUCAAUUGUUUUUGUCACUGGCAAUCUUUGAAAUACAAUCUUGCUCUGUCGCCUUUACUGACAAGUUGGCUUUUACUACAUAUGUGGCACUGACACUUCUUUAAUUAAUGCACCAGUCAAUGUAAACCCCCCAACCGGGGAGGGGCAGGGAUUUUGACUUGGAGGGGUAGUAAAAGAGCAAAAUUGUCCCGCCCCUGGGG